GAAGGGGAGUCCAAGCUCACUCACUAUGUAACGGAUCAGACUAGCAGCUACAGUGAACUUCGCGUAUGGGUGGAGCAACACAAGGAUGUCAUCAAACUGGUGCAGCAUCUGGAGCAGCUACUCAACAUGAUCAUCUUGUUUCAGUUCCUGGGAGGGACAAUCAUCAUCUGCGUGACGUUGUACCAAAGCUCUGCUAAAACGGGCGAAGUAACAACGAUGUGCAAGUUGCAGCUUUAUCUGAGUACGAUGUUAUCCGAAAUUUUCAUGUACUGCUGGUAUGCGGACGGGAUAGUACAG